UAAGAAUAGAAAAGCAGCAUUCUGAACAGCAAUGCUCAUCACAUAAACAUGAAGUUUCCUCCAAAAGGAAUGAUGACUAAUGCUUUGAGGAAACAGCAGACGUCAGACAGCAAGCCCAGAAAAACCUGCCAGCACCAAGAGGGUGUCCUCAACAGGCGCCUGGGGGACAUAUUAUUCUAACUAAAGAGACCAGAGCUUCCCCAGGAAGGGAAGAGGAGAGAAAUGAAGAACGUCUGUGUUCAUGUUUGCCAAAAACAAAAGUCUGAGAAAUCUCUGAGAGACUCUACAUGGGAGGGCACUAAUCGAAGCACCUCAUUUAAAGUGAGAAAAGCUUUGCUAAGGGCAGAUGAUUCAGCACGGUAUCCUUCGAUGAGUACUGUCAUCUCAAAUCCUUUUUAAGAAGAAAAGUGCAACCCACUGGAGAAAGAGAGGGACUCCGAGGAAGGAGAGAGAGAAGAGCAUCAAGCACAAAUGAUGAUCUCCUAGGACAGUGGCAGCUUCUGAGAAUGCACAGGAAAGUGACCAGGGAAAGAAUGAUUCCAUCUCCAGGAAUCCCUGGUGAUCUUCAGAGCCCAGACAGGACCCUGCUGGGCCAUGGUAACUGAGAAACUGAGAAGCAGAUACAGUGGUCCCUAUGUUGGCAACCUCAGCUGAAGAGGAACAACUCUCUCUAUAAUCAAGGACUUCUGAAACCAGAAAUCACCAGCGUGGGGAGAGAACAUUAAAGGCAGAGGUGUCUCUUAUAAGCACAACGUGUGACCAGGUAAUACUGUCUGGAUUAGCAGCUGUACAGCCUAACUAAGCCCUGGAGCUACAAUUAUCUGGUCGCAUUAAACUGAAAUCACCUGAAAAACUUCACACUGAACAAGCCUUUGGAAAUGUCUAAUCUGCCAGUUUACACCCAGAAGUGAAAGUGGAAUUCACUUGUUAAAGACAAGAAAACAAAAGUUUUCUGCCAGGAAGAGUCUCAUCUUAGAACCAGUAUAGGGUCUGAAGACAUUUCUGCAAUUUAUGUUUAUGCCAUUCUUUCACUUUUAUUUAAAAAGGAGAUUUAACCUGACCAUUCUCUUUGAAGCCGAUGUCCCAAGUAUAUAUGUUUGAUGAGGGUACAGAAGACAUAAGGAAUAAAACUGCAUUGCCACAGAGGGAAUACACGGCUCCAGAUACAAGGCUUUAUGCUAAUUUUAGCAAAAUAACUUGGAUUACUGUCAGCUUCUAGUGUCUCCAUCAUUCAUAAUUGCACUGUGUUGGUCCACCCACUUUACUCCUAAAGAAGAGGUAAGAAACAGAAGAGGAGAUCACAGUGGCUCUUCAACUAUUAAUAUACCACAGACUUCAAUAACAAAUGAAGAGAAACAAGAAAAGAAAGCAAUGCAAAAAGAACGGUACUGCCCUCUUUCUCUCCUGAACCAUCAAUAAAUCAAGGGUAGAUAAUAGCCUAAAUCAGUAUUUCUCCAGUUUUUUCACUAGCAUCUUCCCCAGUGAACCAUUUUAAAUAGUUUUUCCUAAUUGUCCAAAUAUGAAAUGUUAAUGCACU
rnacentral:lncRNA from 10 species